CCUUCUGUGCCGGAGUUAACGCAAUAAGUACCCCGCCUGGGGAGUACGACCGCAAGGUUGAAACUCAAAGGAAUUGACGGGGGCCCGCACAAGCGGUGGAGUAUGUGGUUUAAUUCGACGCAACGCGAAGAACCUUACCAGGUCUUGACAUUGAUGGACAGAACCAGAGAUGGUUCCUCUUCUUCGGAAGCCAGAAAACAGGUGGUGCACGGUUGUCGUCAGCUCGUGUCGAGAGAUGUUGGGUUAAGUCCCGCAACGAGCGCAACCCCUAUCUUAUGUUGCCAGCACUUCGGGUGGGGACUCAUGAGAGACUGCCGCAGACAAUGCGGAGGAAGGCGGGGAUGACGUCAAAUCAUCAUGCCCCUUGUGACCUGGGCUACACACGUACUACAAUGGGAGUUAACAGACGGAAGCGAGAUCGCGAGAUGGAGCAAACCCGAGAAACACUCUCUCAGUUCGGAUCGUAGGCUGCAACUCGCCUACGUGAAGUCGGAAUCGCUAGUAAUCGCAGGUCAGCAUACUGCGGUGAAUACGUUCCCGGGCCUUGUACACANCGCCCGUCACACCACGAAAGUCGGAAGUGCCCA
rnacentral:rRNA from 1 species